AAAACCCUAGAUUCACUAGAAGACAAGAGACUUGAGGCGGUUUGGGUGAAUGCUCGAUCUUGGGGAUCAAGUAAGGAGGGUGCUGCAAAGUCUGCGCCUUUGUGUCUAUGCUCCGAGUGAUCAAUUGGUCGAGUAGAUGCUUCUUCCUCUCCUAUCUGUAUGCUCAGAUGUCUGUUUGAGUGGGGAAUGAAGAGGAUCCGAAGACGCUUUGAUAGCUCAACAAGUCUUGUAAAGUUGGUCACCCUUGGUCGAGUAAAUGGGUCGAGUAGAGGAUCGAGUAGGAGGGGCGAGUAGAUCAAUCUGCUGCUUCAUCAGAGGCUGCCUUGAUCGAGUAAGAGGGUCGAGUGAAUUGCAGCCUCCUCUGUAGCUGCCUGGAUUGAGUAAAGAGGUCGAGUGAAAUGAUGCCUCUUCUGUAGCUGCCUGGAUCGAGUGAAUGGAUCGAGUAGAGUCCUUUUUAGCUCCUUCCGCACCUGAAAACACACUGAAACAUGCAAUGCAAAUGCAAGAUGAUCCUAGAGCCUAAGUAUGCAAAAUAAGCUAAAAUGGUGCAAAAUGAUACGAUACAAUGAGCAUAUGCACAG
rnacentral:sRNA from 1 species